rnacentral:tRNA from 1 species
GGAGGAGUGCCAGAGUGGUUGAAUGGGACGGUCUUGAAAACCGUUAAGGGAGCAAUCCCUUCGUGAGUUCGAAUCUCACCUCCUCCGCUA